UCGCGUCAAGAUAUUUGCAACUAUUGCAUACAUAUCCUCCAUGAUAGCAAAAACCUAUCCUUUCCCAUUAACCUCCUUCACGCUAAUAACCUUUGCUUCCCUUGUAACUUUCCUUAAACCACGAUGGUGCUUGAAACGCGAGUUCAAACUCUUAACAUCUAUUUUCACACUUCUCGUACACAACACGCGGUGUUUCAUAUUUAAAUUGGAUCGUCGAAACGAGCUCUGGAGCAUGAGAUGUCGUGUGUGCUUUGUAGCUGCGAAUUUAAC
rnacentral:lncRNA from 1 species